UACGGGGGGAGCAAGCGUUGUUCGGAAUCACUGGGCGUAAAGGGUGCGUAGGCGGGUCUUUAAGUCAGGGGUGAAAUCCUGGAGCUCAACUCCAGAACUGCCUUUGAUACUGAAGAUCUUGAGUCCGGGAGAGGUGAGUGGAACUGCGAGUGUAGAGGUGAAAUUCGUAGAUAUUCGCAAGAACACCAGUGGCGAAGGCGGCUCACUGGCCCGGUACUGACGCUGAGACGCGAAAGCGUGGGGAGCGAACAGG
rnacentral:rRNA from 1 species